AAAAUCAGCAAUCUCAAGCGAAAAGGAUCUAUCGCGCGCAAACAUGUUGUCAAAGGUUUUCUCUGUCUCAAAGGCCAUGUCCUGGCGUGCAAUUUCGGAUGCCUCUACCUACGCCAUGAUUGCUGGAUCUAUGACCUACUUUUUAUACCAUACGGUCCCGUUGUUCGUAGAAGUCGUCAGAUCGGAAAGGGCUGCAAACGAGGAGUUGGAGCGGUGCUGACGCAUUUCUCAAUCCGAGUAGCAGCCUUCUGUUCUAAAUGGGUGCAAUGGUGAUGUGAUGUGAUGUGUUGUGAUGGGUGUUGGAAGAUGACUAGAGCUAUAUAUUUAUUUGAUGUUUGUUGUCAUGAAAACCUAUCCAUCUGAGAUCGAUGACCGAUAUUUGAACCUAAUGUGCGGUGUACUUUUGCUACGUCUAUAUAUUGUCAUCUUUUGCUUGCUUAUGGCUGA